rnacentral:sRNA from 1 species
AGCAACACGAUGUGGCGAUAGCCCGCGGG